CUACGAACUAAAGUUUAAAACUCAAAGGACUUGGCGGUUUUCUAGAUCUUCCUGGAGGAGCUUGCUAUCUAACCGAUAACCCACGAAAAACCUCACCAGUCUUUGAAAAAUCAACCUGUAUACCAUCGUCGUCAGUCUACCUCUUAAGAGAGUAUACUUAAAGGAGUACCGCUCCACAACGUCAGAUCGAGGUGCAGUUAAUAGACUGGGGAUCAGUGAGCUACAAUAUUUUACUAUUUUAAUCAAUAAUUAUUUAUUAUGAACGAUUUUCUGAAAAGAAAAACCAAAACAGGAUUCAGCAGUAAUGCUUAACAGAGAAUAAGCAUGAAGUGCUAAACUCUUUAAGU
rnacentral:rRNA from 1 species